UCAAAGCAAGGGAUCCCAAUUUUCCUGUUUGGGAAAAUGACAACUUCUUCGCCAGUCUAAUCAAACAAGGAUGAAUAACGGUGUAAGAUGGUUGAUUUGGAUACAUAAAAUAGUAGAGACUCACUAGGAAGUUGAAUAAAUCUCAUAGGAGUUAGGAUGAUGAAGCUAUCCCACUGUCAAAUUAGGUGAUCCCAGUUUUCCUGUUUGGGAAUAUAACAACUUCUUCUUCAUUCUAAUCAAACCAUGAUGAAUCACGGUGUAAGAAACUUGAUUUGGAUACAUAAAGUAGUGGACAAUCACCAGGAAGUUGAAUAAAUGUCAUAGGAGUUAGGAUGAAGAAGCUAUCCCACUUUCAAAGCAAGGGAUCCCAGUUUUCUUGUUUGGGAAUAUGACAACUUCUUCGUCAUUCUAAUCAAACCAAGAUGAGUCGCGAUGUAAAAUCUUGAUUUGGAUACAUAAUGUAUUGGACAAUCACCAGGAAGUUCAAUAAAUUUCAUAGGAGUUAGGAUGAAGAAUCUAUCCCACUUUCAAAGCAAGGGAUCCCAGUUUUCUUGUUUGGGAAAAUGACAACUUCUUCCUCAUUCUAAUCAAACCAGGAUGAAUCGCGAUGUAAAAAGCUUGAUUUGGAUACAUAAAGUAGUGGAGACUCACCGGGAAGUUGAAUAAAUUUCAUUGGAGUUUGUAUAAAGAAGAUAUCCCACUUUCAAAGCAAGGGAUCCUAGUUUUCCUGUUUUUGAAUUUGACAACUUCUUCGUCAUUCUAAUCAAACCAGGACUAGUCGCGAUGUAAAAAUCUUGAUUUGGAUACAUAAAAUAGUGGAGACUCAACAGGAUGUUGAAUAAACUCAUAGGAGUUAGGAUGAAAAGGCAAUCCCACUUUCAAAUCUGGUGAUCCCACUUUUCCUGUUUGGGAAUUUGACAACUUCUUCGUCAUUCUAAUCAAACCAAGAUGAAUCCCGGUGUAAGAAGCUUGAUUUGGAUCCAUAAUGUAGUGGAGAAUCAGCAGGAAGUUGAAUAAAUCUUAUAGGAGUUAGGAUGAAGAAGCUACCCCACUUUCAAAGCAAGGGAUCCCAGUUUUUCUGUUUGGGAAUAUGACAACUUCUUCGUCCUUCUAAUCAAACCAGGAUGAAUCACGGUGUAAGAAGCUUUAUUUGGAUACAUAAUGUAGUGGAGAAUCACCAGGAAGUUGAAUAAAUCUUAUAGGAGUUAGGAUGAAGAAGCUAUCCCACUUUCAAACAAAGGGAUCCCAAUUUUCCUGUUUGGGAAUAUGACAACUUCUUCGUCAUUCUAAUAAAACAACGAUGAGCCGGGAUGAAAGAAGCUUGAUUUGGAUACAUAAAGUAGUGGACAAUCACCAGGAAGUUGAAUAAAUGUAAUAGGAGUUAUGAUGAAGAAGUUAUCCCACUUUCAAAGAAAGAGAUCCCAGUUUUCUCGUUUGGAAAUAUGACAACUUCUUCGUCAUUCUAAUCAAACCAAGAUGAGUCGCGAUGUAAGAAUCUUGAUUUGGAUACAUAAAGUAGUGGACAAUCACCAGGAAGUUCAAUAAAUUUCAUAAGAGUUAGGAUGAAGAAGCUAUCCCAUUUUCAAAGCAAGGGAUCCCAGUUUUCAUGUUUGGGAAAAUGACAACUUGUAUGUCAUUCUAAUCAAACCAGGAUGAAUCGCGAUGUAAGAAGCUUGAUUUGGAUACAUAAAGUAGUGGAGACUCACCAGGAAGUUAAAUAAAUCUCAUAGGAGUUAGGAUGAAGAAACUACCCCACUUUCAAAGCAACAGAUACCAAUUUUCCUGUUUAAGAAAAUGACAACUUCUUCGUCAGUCUAAUCAAACCAGGAUGAAUCACGGUGUAAGAAGGAUUAUUUGGAUACAUGACAUAGUAGAGACUCACCAGGAAGUUGAAUAAAUCUCAUAGGAGUUAGGAUGAUGAAGCUAUCCCACUGUCAAAUCAGGUGAUCCUAGUUUUCCUGUUUCGGAAUAUAGCAACUUCUUCGUCAUUCAAAUCAUACCAAUAUGAGUCGCGAUGUAAGAAUCUUGAUUUGGAUACAUAAAGUAGUGGACAAUCACCAAUAAGUUCAAUAAAUUGCAUAGGAGUUAGGAUGAAGAAGCUAUCCCACUUUCACAGCAAGGGAUCCCAGUUUCCUGUUUGGGAAUAUGACAACUUCUUCGUCCUUCUAAUCAAACCAGGAUGAAUCACGGUGUAAGAACCUUGAUUUGGAUACAUAAUGGAGUGCAGAAUCACCAGGAAGUUGAAUAAAUCUUAUAGGAGUUAGGAUGAAGAAGCUAUCCCACUUUCAAACAAAGGGAUCCCAAUUUUCCUGUUUGGGAAUAUGACAACUUCUUCGUCAUUCUAAUCAAACCAGGAUGAGUCGGGAUGUAAGAAGCUUGAUUUGGAUACAUAAAGUAGUGGACAAUCACCAGGAAGUUGAAUAAAUGUAAUAGGAGUUAGGAUGAAGAAGUUAUCCCACUUUCAAAGCAAGAGAUCCCAGUUUUCUCGUUUGGAAAUAUGACAACUUCUUCGUCAUUCUAAUCAAACCAAGAUGACUCACGAUGUAAGAAUCUUGAUUUGGAUACAUAAAGUAGUGGACAAUCACCAGGAAGUUCAAUAAAUUUCAUAGGAGUUAGGAUGAAGAAGCUAUCCCACUUUCAAAGCAAGGGAUCCCAGUUUUCAUGUUUUGGAAAAUGACAACUUGUUCGUCAUUCUAAUCAAACCAGGAUGAAUCGCGAUGUAAGAAGCUUGAUUUGGAUACAUAAAGUAGUGGAGACUCACCAGGAAGUUGAAUAAAUCUCAUAGGAGUUAGGAUGAAGAAGCUACCCCACUUUCAAAGCAACGGAUCCCAAUUUUCCUGUUUGAGAAAAUGACAACUUCUUUGUCAGUCUAAUCAAACCAGGAUGAAUCACGGUGUAAGAAGGUUGAUUUGGAUACAUAAAAUAGCAGAGACUCCCUAGGAAGUUGAAUAAAUCUCAUAGGAGUUAGGAUGAUGAAGCUAUCCCACUGUCAAAUCAGGUGAUCCCAGUUUCCCUGUCUCGCAAUAUAACAACUUCUUCGUCAUUCUAAUCAAACCAGGAUGAAUCAGGAUGAUGAAGCUAUCCCACUGUCAAAUCAGGUGAUCCCAGUUUUCCUGUUUGGGAAUAUGACAACUUCUUCGUCCCUGUCUCGCAAUAUAACAACUUCUUCGUCAUUCUUAUCAAACCAGGAUGAACCGCGAUGUAAGAAGCUUGAUUUGGAUACAUAAAAUAGCAGAGACUCCCUAGGAAGUUGAAUAAAUCUUAUAGGAGUUAGGAUGAUGAAGCUAUCCCACUGUCAAAUCAGGUGAUCCCAGUUUUCCUGUUUGGGAAUAUGACAACUUCUUCGUCCCUGUCUCGCAAUAUAACAACUUCUUCGUCAUUCUUAUCAAACCAGGAUGAACCGCGAUGUAAGAAGCUUGAUUUGGAUACAUAAAAUAGCAGAGACUCCCUAGGAAGUUGAAUAAAUCUUAUAGGAGUUAGGAUGAUGAAGCUAUCCCACUGUCAAAUCAGGUGAUCCCAGUUUUCCUGUUUGGGAAUAUGACAACUUCUUCGUCCCUGUCUCGCAAUAUAACAACUUCUUCGUCAUUCUUAUCAAACCAGGAUGAACCGCGAUGUAAGAAGCUUGAUUUGGAUACAUAAAAUAGCAGAGACUCCCUAGGAAGUUGAAUAAAUCUUAUAGGAGUUAGGAUGAUGAAGCUAUCCCACUGUCAAAUCAGGUGAUCCCAGUUUUCCUGUUUGGGAAUAUGACAACUUCUUCGUCAUUCUAAUCAAACCAAGAUGAGUCGUGAUGUAAGAAUCUUGAUUUGGAUACAUAAAGUGGUGAACAAUCACCAGGAAGUUCAAUAAAUUUCAUAGGAGUUAGGAUGAAGAAGCUAUCCCACUUUCAAAGCAAGGGAUCCCAGUUUUCAUGUUUGGGAAAAUGACAACUUGUUUGUCAUUCUAAUCAAACCAGGAUGAAUCACGUUGUAAGAAGCUUGAUUUGGAUACAUAAAGUAGUGGAGACUCACCAGGAAGUUGAAUAAAUCUCAUAGGAGUUAGGAUGAAGAAGCUAUCCCACUUUGAAAGCAAGGGAUCCCAAUUUUCCUGUUUGGGAAAAUGACAACUUCUUCGUCAGUCAAUCAAACCAGGAUGAAUCACCUUGUAAGAAGGUUGAUUUGGAUACAUAAAAUAGUAGAGACUAAUCAUGAAGUUGAAUAGAUCUCAUAGGGGUUAGGAUGAUGAAGCUAUCCCACUGUCAAAUCAGGUGAUCCCAGUUUUCCUGUUUGGGAAUAUAACAACUUCUUCGUCAUUGUAAUCAAACCAUGAUAAAUCACAGUGUAAGAAGCUUGAUUUGGAUACAUAAAGUAGUGGACAAUCACCAGAAAGUUGAAUAAAUGUCAUAGGAGUUAGGAUGAAAAAGCUAUACCACUUUCAAAGCAAGGGAUCCCAGUUUCUUGUUUAGGAAUAUGACAACUUCUUCGUCAUUCUAAUCUAACCAAGAUGAGUCGCGAUGUAAUAAUCUUGAUUUGGAUACAUAAAGUAGUGGACAAUCACUCGGAAAUUCAAUAAAUUUCAUAGGAGUUAGGAUGAAGAAUCUAUCCCACUUUCAAAGCAAGGGAUCUCAGUUUUCCAGUUUGGAAACUGACAACUUUUUCAUCAUUCUAAUCAAACCAGGAUGAAUUGCGAUGUAAGAAGCUUGAUUUGGAUACAUAAAGUAGUGGAGACUCACCAGGAAGUUGAAUAAUUUUCAUAGGAGUUAGUAUGAAGAAGUUAUCCCACUUUCAAAGCAAGGGAUCUCAGUGUUCCUGUUUUUUAAUAUGACAACUUCUUCGUCAUUCUAAUCAAACCAGGAUGAGUCGCGAUGCAAAAAUCUUGAUUUGGAUCCAUAAAAUAGUGGAGACUCAACAGGAAGUUGAAUAAACUCAUAAGAGUUAGGAUGAAAAAGCAAUCCCACUUUCAAAUCAGGUGAUCCCACUUUUCCUGUAUGGGAAUAUGACAACUUCUCUGUCAUUCUAAUCAAACCUUGAUGAGUGUAGAUGUAAGAAGAUUUAUUUGGAUACAUAAAGUAGUGUUGACUCACCGGGAAGUUAAAUAAAUCUCAUAGGAGUUAGGAUGAAGAAGCUAUCCCACUGUCAAAUCAGGUGAUCCCAGUUUUCAUGUUUGGGAAUAUGACAACUUCUUCGUCAUUCUAAUCAAACCAGGAUGAAUCACGGUGUAAGAAGCUAGAUUUGAGAAGCUAUCCCACGUUCAAAGCAAGGGAUCCCUGUUUUCCUGUUUGGGAUAAAGACAACUUCUUCGUCAUUCUAAUCAAACCAGGAUGAAUCGCGAUGUAAGAAGCUUGAUUUGGAUACAUAAAGUGGUGGAGACUCACCAGGAAGUUGAAUAAAUUUUAUAGGAGUUAGGAUGAAGAAGCUAUCCCACUUUUAAAGCAAAGGAUCCCAGUUUUCCUGUUUGGGAAAAUGACAACUUCUUCGUCAAUCUAAUCAAACCAGGAUGAGUCGCGAAGUAAUAAUAUUGAUUUGGAUACAUAAAAUAGUGGAGAUUCAACAGGAAGUUGAAUAAUCUCACAAGAGUUAGGAUGAAGAAGCUAUCUCACUUUCGAAGCAAGGGAUCCCCGUUUUCCUGUUUGGGAAAAUGAAAACUUCUUCGUCAUUCUAAUCAAAACAGGAUAAAUCGUGAUGUAAGAAGCUUGAUUUGGAUACAUAAAGUAGUGAAGACUCGCCAGGAAGUUGAAUAAAUCUCAUAGGAGUUAGUAUGAAGAAGCUAUCCCACUUUCAAAGCAAGGGGUCCCAAUUUUCCUGUUUGGGAAUAUGACAACUUUUUCGUCAUUCUUAUCAAACCAGGAAGAGUCGGGAUGUAAGAAGCUUGAUUUGGAUACAUAAAGUAGGAGACAAUCACCAGGAAGUUGAAUAAAUUUCAUAGGAGUUAGGAUGAAGAAGCUAUCCCCCUUUCAAAGCAAGGGAUUCCAGUUUUCCUGUUUUUGAAUAUGACAACUUCUUCGUCAUUCUAAUAAAACCAGGAUGAGUGUCGAUGUAAGAAGAUUGAUUUGGAUACAUAAAGUAGUGGAGACUCACCAGGAAGUUGAAUAAAUCUCAUAGGAGUUAGGAUGAAGAAGCUAUCCCACUUUCAAAUCAGGUGAUCCCAGUUUUCCAGUUUGGGAAUAUGACAACUUCUUCAUCAUUCUAAUCAAACCAGUAUGAAUCACUGUGUAAGAAGUUUGAUUUGGAUACAUAAAAUAGUGGAGAAUAACCAGGAAGUUAAAUAAAUCUCAUAGUAGUUAGGAUGAAGAAGCUACCUCACUUUCAAAGCAUGGGAUCCCAGCUUUUAUGGUUGGGAAUAUGACAACUUCUUCGUCAUUUUAAUCAAACCAGGAUGAGUCGCGAUGUAAAAAUCUUGAUUUGGAUACAUAAAAUAGUGGAGACUCACCAUGUAGUUGAAUAAACUCAUAGGAGUUAGGAUGAUGAAGCAAUCCCACUGUCAAAUCAGGUGAUCCCAGUUUUCAUGUUUGGGAAUAUGAGAACUUCUUCGUCAUUCUAAUUAAACAAGGAUGAAUCACGGUGUCAGAAGCUUGAUUUGAAUACAUAAAUUAGUGGAGAAUAACCAGGAAGUUCAAUAAAUUUCAUAGGAGUUAGGAUGAAAAAGCUAUCCCACUUUCAAAGCAAGGGAUCCCUGUUUUCCUGUUUGGGAAAAUGACAACUUUUUCGUCAUUCUAAUCAAACCAGGAUGAAUCGCGAUGUAAGAAGCUUGAUUUGGAUACAUAAAUUAGUGGAGACUCACCAGGAAGUUGAAUAAAUUUUAUAGGAGUUAGGAUGAAGAAACUAUCCCACUUUCAAAGCAAGGGAUCCCAGUUUUCCUGUUUGGGAAAAUGACAACUUCUUCGUCAAUCUAAUCAAACCAGGAUGAGUCGCGAAGUAAAAAUAUUGAUUUGGAUUCAUAAAAUAGUGGAGACUCAACAGGAAGUUGAAUAAACUCAAAGGAGUUAGGAUGAAAAUGCAAUCCCACUUUCAAAUCAGGUGAUCCCACUUUUUCUGUUUGGGAAUAUGACAACUUCUUCGUCAUUCUAAUCAAACCUUGAUGAGUGUCGAUGUAGGAACCUUGAUUUGGAUACAUAAAGUAGUGGAGACUCACCAGGAAGUUGAAUAAAUUUCAUAGGAGUUAGGAUGAAGAAGCUAUCCCACUUUCAAUUUUAUGGUUGGGAAUAUGACAACUUCUUCGUCAUUCUAAUCAAACCUUGAUGAGUGUCGAUGUAGGAACCUUGAUUUGGAUACAUAAAGUAGGAGACAAUCACCAGGAAGUUGAAUAGAUUUUAUAGGAGUUAGGAUGAAGAAGCUAUCUCACUUUCAAAGCAAGGGAUCCCCGUUUUCCUGUUUGGGAAAAUGGCAACUUCUUCAUCAUUCUAAUCAAAACUGGAUGAAUCGUGAUGUAAGAAGCUUGAUUUGGAUACAUAAAGUAGGAGACAAUCACCAGGAAGUUGAAUAGAUUUUAUAGGAGUUAGGAUGAAGAAGCUAUCUCACUUUCAAAGCAAGGGAUCCCCGUUUUCCUGUUUGGGAAAAUGGCAACUUCUUCAUCAUUCUAAUCAAAACUGGAUGAAUCGUGAUGUAAGAAGCUUGAUUUGGAUACAUAAAGUAGGAGACAAUCACCAGGGAGUUGAAUAUAUUUCAUAGGAGUUAGGAUGAAGAAGCUAUCCCCCUUUCAAAGCAAGGGAUUCUAGUUUUCCUGUUUUUGAAUAUGACAACUUCUUCGUCAUUCUAAUAAAACCAGGAUGAGUGUCGAUGUAAGAAGAUUGAUUUGGAUACAUAAAGUAGUGGAGACUCACCAGGAAGUUGAAUAAAUCUCAUAGGAGUUAGGAUGAAGAAGCUAUCCCACUUUCAAAUCAGGUGAUCCCAGUUUUCCAGUUUGGGAAUAUGACAACUUCUUCAUCAUUCUAAUCAAACCAGGAUGAAUCACUGUGUAAGAAGCUUGAUUUGGAUACAUAAAAUAGUGGAGAAUAACCAGGAAGUUAAAUAAAUCUCAUAGGAGUUAGGAUGAAGAAGCUACCUCACUUUCAAAGCAAGGGAUCCCAGUUUUCCUGGUUGGGAAUAUGACAACUUCUUCGUCAUUCUAAUCAAACCAGGAUGAGUCGCGAUGUAAGAAUCUUGAUUUGGAUACAUAAAAUAGUGGAGACUCACCAUGUAGUUGAAUAAACUCAUAGGAGUUAGGAUGAUGAAGCAAUCCCACUUUCAAAUCAGGUGAUCCCAGUUUUCCUGUUUGGGAAUAUGACAACUUCUUCGUCAUUCUAAUAAAAUCAGGAUGAGUGUCGAUGUAAGAAGCUUGAUUUGGAUCCAUAUAGUAGUGGAGACUCACCAGGAAGUUGAAUAAAUCUCAUAGGAGUUAGGAUGAAGAAGCUAUCCCACUGUCAAAUCAGGGGAUCCCAGUUUUCCUGUUUGGGAAUAUAACAACUUUUUCGUUAUUCUAAUCAAACUAGGAUGAAUCGCGAUGUAAGAAGCUUGAUUUGGAUACAAAAAGUAGUGGAGACUCACCAGGAAGUUGAAUAAAUCUCAUAGGAGUUAGGAUGAAGAAGCUAUCCCACUUUCAAAGCAAGGGGUCCCAAUUUUCCGGUUUGGCAAUAUGACAACUUCUUCAUCAUUCGAAUCAAACCAGGAUGAGUCGGGAUGUAAGAAGCUUGAUUUGGAAACAUAAAGUAGGAGACAAUCACCAGGAAGUUGAAUAAAUUUUAUAGGAGUUAGGACGAAGAAACUAUCCCACUUUCAAAGCAAGGGAUCCCCGUUUUCCUGUUUGGGAAAAUGACAACUUCUUCGUCAUUCUAAUCAAACCAGGAUGAAUCGCGAUGUAAGAAGAUCGAUUUGGAUACAUAAAGUAGUGGAGACUCAACAGGAAGUUGAAUAAAUUUCAUAGGAGUUAGGAUGAAGAAGCUAUCCCACUUUCUAAGCAAGGGAUUUCAGUUUUCCUGUUUUUGAAUAUGACAACUUCUUCGUCAUUCAAAUCAAAACAAGAUGAGUCGCGAUGUAAGAAGCUUGAUUUAGAUACAAAAAGUAGUGGACAAUCACCAGGAAGUUGAAUAAAUUUCAUAGGAGUUAGGAUGAAGAAGCUAUCCCACUUUCAAAGCAAGGAUCACAGUUUUCCUGUUUGGGAAAAUGACAACUCCUUCGUCAUUCUAAUCAAACCAGGAUGAAUCGCGAUGUAAGAAGCUUGAUUUGGAUACAUAAAGUAGUGGAGACUCACCAGGAAGUUGAAUUAAUCUCAUAGGAAUUAGUUAUGAUGAUGAAGCUAUCCCACUGUCAAAUCAGGUGAUCUCAGUUUUCCUUUUUGGGAAAAUGACAACUUCUUCGUCAUUCUAAUCAAACCAGGAUGAAUCGCGAUGUAAGAAGUAGUGGAGACACACCAGGAAGUUGAAUUAAUCUCAUAGGAGUUAGGAUAAAGAAACUACCCCACUUUCAAAGCAACGGAUCCCAAUUUUCCUGUUUGAGAAAAUGACAACUUCUUCAUCAGUCUAAUCAAAACCAGGAUGAAUCACGGUGUAAGAAAGUUGAUUUGGAUACAUAAAAUAGUAGAGACUCCCCAGGAAGUUGAAUAAAUCUCAUAGGAGUUAGGAUGAUGAAGCUAUCCCAUUAUCAAAUCAGGUGAUCCCAGUUUUCCUGUUUCGGAAUAUAACAACUUCUUCGUCAUUCUAAUCAAACCAAUAUGAGUCGCGAUGUAAAAAUCUUGAUUUGGAUACAUAAAGUAGUGGACAAUCACCAGGAAGUUCAAUAAAUUUCAUAGGAGUUAGGAUGAAGAAGCUAUCCCACUUUCAAAGGAAGGGAUCCCAAUUUUGCUAAUUGGGAAUAUGACAACUUCUUCGUAUUUCUAAUCAAACCAGGAUGAGUAGCAAUCCCAGGAAGUUGAAUAAACUUAUAGGAGUUAGGAUGAUGAAGCAAUCUCACUUUCAAAUCAGGUGAUCCCAGUUUUCCUGUUUGGGAAUAUUACAACUUCUUCAUCAUUCUAAUAAAACCAGGAUGAGUGUCGACGUAAGAAGCUUGAUUUGGAUACCUAAAGUAGAGGAGACUCACCAGGAAGUUGAAUAAAUCUCAUAGGAGUUAGGAUGAAGAAGCUAUCCCACUGUCAAAUCAGGUGAUCCCAGUUUACCUGUUUGAGAAUAUGACAACUUCUUCGUCAUUCUAAUCAAACCAGGAUGAAUCACGGGGUAAGAAGCUUGAUUUGGAUACAUAAAAUAGUGGAGAAUAACCAGGAAGUUAAAUAAAUCUCAUAGGAGUUAGGAUGAAGAUGCUACCUCACUUUCAAAGCAAGGGAUCCCAGUUUUCCUGUUUGGGAAUAUGACAACUUCUUUGUCAUUCUAAUCAAACCAAGGUGAGUCGCGAUGUAAAAAUCUUGAUUUGGAUACAUAAAAUAGUGAAGACUCACCAGGUAGUUGAAUAAACUCAUAGGAGUUAGGAUGAUGAAGCAAUCCCACUUUCAAAUCAGGUGAUCCCAGUUUUCCUGUUUGGGAAUAUGACAACUUCUUCGUCAUUCUAAUAAAACCAGGAUGAGUGUCGAUGUAAGAAGCUUGAUUUGGAUCCAUAAAGUAGUGGAGACUCACCAUGAAGUUGAAUAAAUCUCAUAGGAGUUAGGAUGAAGAAGCUUUCCCUCUGUCAAAUCAGGUGAUCCCAGUUUUCAUGUUUAGGAAUAUGAUAACUUCUUCGUCAUUCUAAUCAAACCAGGAUGAAUCACGGUGUAAAAAGCUUGAUUUGAAUAAAUAAAGUAGUGGAGAAUAACCAGGAAGUUCAAUAAAUUUCAUACGAGUUAGGAUGAAGAAGCUAUCCCACUUUCAAAGCAAGGGAUCCCUGUUUUCCUGUUUGGGAAAAUGACAACUUCUUCGUCAUUCUAAUCAAUCCAGGAUGAAUCACGGUGUAAGAAUCUUGAUUUGGAUACAUAAAGUAGUGAAGAAUAACAAGGAAGUUAAAUAAAUCUCAUAGGAGUUAGGAUGAAGAAGCUAUCUAACUUUAAAAGCACGGGAUCCCAGUUUUCCUGUUUGGGAAUAUGACAACUUCUUCGUCAUUCUAAUCAAACCAGGAUGAGUCGCGAUGUAAAAAUCAUGAUUUGGAUACAUAAUAUAGUCGAGACUCACCAGGAAGUUGAAUAACCUCAUAGGAGUUAGGAUUAUGAAGCAAUCCCACUUUUAAAUCAGGUGAUCCCAGUUUUUCUUUUUGGGAAUAUAACAACUUCUUCGUCAUUCUAAUAAAACCAAUAUGACUCGCGAUGUAAGAAUCUUGAUUUGGAUACAUAAAGUAGUGGAGACUCACCAGGAAGUUGAAUAAAUCUCAUAGGAGUUAGGAUGAAGAAGCUAUCCAACUGUCAAAUCAGGGGAUCCCAGUUUUCCUGUUUGGGAAUCUGACAACUUCUUCGUCAUUCCAAUCAAACCAGGAUGAAUCGCGAUGUAAGAAGCUUGAUUUGGAUACAUAAACUAGUGGAGACUCACCAGGAAGUUGAAUAAAUUUCAUAGGAGUUAGGAUGAAGAAGUUAUCCCACUUUCAAAACAAGGGAUUCCAGUUUUCCUGUUUGGGAAUAUGACAACUUCUAUGUCAUUCUAAUCAAACCAGGAUGAGUCGCGAUGUAAGAAUAUUGAUUUGGAUACAUAAAGUAGUGGAGACUCACUAGAAAGUUGAAUAAAUGUCAUAGGAGUUAGGAUGAAGAAGGUAUCCAACUUUCAAAGCAAGGGAUCCCAAUUUUUCUGUUUGGGAAAAUGACAACUUCUUCGUCAUUCUAAUCAAACCAGGAUGAAUCACGGUGUAAGAAGCUUGAUUUAGAUACAUAAUGUAGUGGAGAAUCACCAGGAAGUUGAAUAAAUCUCAUAGGAGUUAGGAUGAAGAAGCUAUCCCACUUUCAAAGCAACAAAAGCCAAUUUUCAUGUUUGGGAAUAUCACAACUUUUUCUGCAUUCAAAUCAAACAAGGAUGAGUCGGGAUGUAAGAAGCUUGAUUUGGAAACAUAAUUUAGUGGACAAUCACCAGGAAGUUUAAUAAAUUUCAUAGGAGUUAGGAUGAAGAAGCUAUCCCACUUUCAAAGUAAGGGAUCACAGUUUUCCUGUUUGGGGAAAUGACAACUUCUUCGUCAUUCUAAUCAAACCAGUAUGAAUCGCGAUGUAAGAUGCUUGAUUUGGAUACAUAAAAUAGUGGAGACUGACCAGGAAGUUGAAUAAAUUUCAUAGGAGUUAGGAUGAAGAAGCUAUCCCAUUUUCAAAGCAAGGGAUUCCAAUUUUCUUGUUUGGAAUAUGACAACUUCUUCGUCAUUCUAAUCAAACCAGGAUGAUUCGGGAUGUAAGAAGCUUGAUUUGGAUACAUAAAGUAGUGGACAAUCACCAGAAAAUUGAAUAAAUUUCAUAGGAGUUAGGAUGAAGAAGCUAUACCACUUUCAAAGCAAGGGAUCCCAAUUUUCCUGUUUGGGAAAAUGACAGCUUCUUCGUCAUUCUAAUCAAACCAGGAUGAAUCGCGAUGUAAGAAGCUUGAUUUGGAUACAUAAAGUAGUGGAGACUCACCAGGAAGUUGAAUUAAUCUCAUAGGAAUUAGUUAUGAUGAUGAAGCUAUCCCACUGUCAAAUCAGGUGAUCUCAGUUUUCCUUUUUGGGAAAAUGACAACUUCUUCGUCAUUCUAAUCAAACCAGGAUGAAUCGCGAUGUAAGAAGUAGUGGAGACACACCAGGAAGUUGAAUUAAUCUCAUAGGAGUUAGGAUAAAGAAACUACCCCACUUUCAAAGCAACGGAUCCCAAUUUUCCUGUUUGAGAAAAUGACAACUUCUUCAUCAGUCUAAUCAAAACCAGGAUGAAUCACGGUGUAAGAAAGUUGAUUUGGAUACAUAAAAUAGUAGAGACUCCCCAGGAAGUUGAAUAAAUCUCAUAGGAGUUAGGAUGAAGAAGCUAUUCCACUUUCAAAUCAGGUGAUCCCAGUUUUCCUGUUUGGGAAUAUUACAACUUCUUCAUCAUUCUAAUAAAACCAGGAUGAGUGUCGACGUAAGAAGCUUGAUUUGGAUACCUAAAGUAGAGGAGACUCACCAGGAAGUUGAAUAAAUCUCAUAGGAGUUAGGAUGAAGAAGCUAUUCCACUUUCAAAUCAGGUGAUCCCAGUUUUCCUGUUUGGGAAUAUUACAACUUCUUCAUCAUUCUAAUAAAACCAGGAUGAGUGUCGACGUAAGAAGCUUGAUUUGGAUACCUAAAGUAGAGGAGACUCACCAGGAAGUUGAAUAAAUCUCAUAGGAGUUAGGAUGAAGAAGCUAUUCCACUUUCAAAUCAGGUGAUCCCAGUUUUCCUGUUUGGGAAUAUUACAACUUCUUCAUCAUUCUAAUAAAACCAGGAUGAGUGUCGACGUAAGAAGCUUGAUUUGGAUACCUAAAGUAGAGGAGACUCACCAGGAAGUUGAAUAAAUCUCAUAGGAGUUAGGAUGAAGAAGCUAUUCCACUUUCAAAUCAGGUGAUCCCAGUUUUCCUGUUUGGGAAUAUUACAACUUCUUCAUCAUUCUAAUAAAACCAGGAUGAGUGUCGACGUAAGAAGCUUGAUUUGGAUACCUAAAGUAGAGGAGACUCACCAGGAAGUUGAAUAAAUCUCAUAGGAGUUAGGAUGAAGAAGCUAUUCCACUUUCAAAUCAGGUGAUCCCAGUUUUCCUGUUUGGGAAUAUUACAACUUCUUCAUCAUUCUAAUAAAACCAGGAUGAGUGUCGACGUAAGAAGCUUGAUUUGGAUACCUAAAGUAGAGGAGACUCACCAGGAAGUUGAAUAAAUCUCAUAGGAGUUAGGAUGAAGAAGCUAUUCCACUUUCAAAUCAGGUGAUCCCAGUUUUCCUGUUUGGGAAUAUUACAACUUCUUCAUCAUUCUAAUAAAACCAGGAUGAGUGUCGACGUAAGAAGCUUGAUUUGGAUACCUAAAGUAGAGGAGACUCACCAGGAAGUUGAAUAAAUCUCAUAGGAGUUAGGAUGAAGAAGCUUUCCCUCUGUCAAAUCAGGUGAUCCCAGUUUUCAUGUUUAGGAAUAUGAUAACUUCUUCGUCAUUCUAAUCAAACCAGGAUGAAUCACGGUGUAAAAAGCUUGAUUUGAAUAAAUAAAGUAGUGGAGAAUAACCAGGAAGUUCAAUAAAUUUCAUACGAGUUAGGAUGAAGAAGCUAUCCCACUUUCAAAUCAGGUGAUCCCAGUUUUCAUGUUUAGGAAUAUGAUAACUUCUUCGUCAUUCUAAUCAAACCAGGAUGAAUCACGGUGUAAAAAGCUUGAUUUGAAUAAAUAAAGUAGUGGAGAAUAACCAGGAAGUUCAAUAAAUUUCAUAGGAGUUAGGAUGAAGAAGCUAUCUAACUUUAAAAGCACGGGAUCCCAGUUUUCCUGUUUGGGAAUAUGACAACUUCUUCGUCAUUCUAAUCAAACCAGGAUGAGUCGCGAUGUAAAAAUCAUGAUUUGGAUACAUAAUAUAGUCGAGACUCACCAGGAAGUUGAAUAACCUCAUAGGAGUUAGGAUUAUGAAGCAAUCCCACUUUUAAAUCAGGUGAUCCCAGUUUUUCUUUUUGGGAAUAUAACAACUUCUUCGUCAUUCUAAUAAAACCAAUAUGACUCGCGAUGUAAGAAUCUUGAUUUGGAUACAUAAAGUAGUGGAGACUCACCAGGAAGUUGAAUAAAUCUCAUAGGAGUUAGGAUGAUGAAGCUAUCCCAUUGUCAAAUCAGGUGAUCCCAGUUUUCCUAUUUGAGAAUAUAACAACUUUUCGUCAUUCUAAUCAAACCAGGAUGAAUCACACGGUGUAAGAAGCUUGAUUUGGAUACAUAAUGUAGUGGAGAAUCACCAGGAAGUUGAAUAAAUCUCAUAGGAGUUAGGAUGAAGAAGAUAUCCCACUUUUAUAGGAAGGGAUCCCAGUUUUCCUGUUUGGGAAUAUGACAACUUCUUCGUCAUUCUAAUCAAACCAGGAUGAGUCGUGAUGUCAAAAUCUUGAUUUGGAUACAUAAAAUAGUGGAGACUCAACAGGAAGUUGAAUAAACUCAUAAGAGUUAGGAUGAUGAAGCUAUCCUAUUUUCAAAGAAAGGGAUCCCAGUUUUCCUGUUUGGGAAUAUGACAACUUCUUCGUCACUCUAAUCAAACCAGGAUGAGUCGCGAUCUAAGAAGCUUGAUUUGGAUACAUAAAGUAGUGGACAAUCACCAGGAAGUUGAAUAAAUUUUAUAGGAGUCGGGAUGAAGAAGCUAUCCCACUUUCAAAGCAAGGAUCCCAAUUUUCCUGUUUGGCAAAAUGACAACUCCUUCGUCAUUCUAAUCAAACCAGGAUGAAUCGCGAUGUAAGAAGGUUGAUUUGGAUACAUAAAGUAGUGGAGACUCACAAGGAAGUUGAAUAAAUAUCAUAGGAGUUAGUUAUGAUGAUGAAGCUAUCCCACUGUCAAAUCAGGUGAUCCUAGUUUUCCUGUUUGGCAAAAUGACAACUGCUUCGUCAUUCUAAUCAAACCAGGAUAAAUCGCGAUGUAAGAAGCUUGAUUUGGAUACAUAAAGUAGUGGACAAUCACCAAGAAGUUGAAUAAAUGUCAUAGGAGUUAGGAUGAAGAAGUUAUCCCACUUUAAAAGCAAGGGAUUCCAGUUUUCCUGUUUGGGAAUAUGAUAACUUCUUUGUCAUUCUUAUCAAAUCAGGAUGAGUCGCGAUGUAAGAAUACUGAUUUGGAUACAUAAAAUAGUGGAGACUCAACAAGAAGUUGAAAAAACUCAAAGGAGUUAGGAUGAAAUUGCAAUCCCACUUUCAAAUCAGGUGAUCCUAGUUUUCCUGUUUGGCAAAAUGACAACUGCUUCGUCAUUCUAAUCAAACCAGGAUAAAUCGCGAUGUAAGAAGCUUGAUUUGGAUACAUAAAGUAGUGGACAAUCACCAAGAAGUUGAAUAAAUGUCAUAGGAGUUAGGAUGAAGAAGCUAUCACACCAUCAAAGCAAGGGAUCCUAGUUUUCCUUUUAGGGAAUAAGACAACUUCUUCGUCAUUCUAAUCAAACCAGGAUGAGUCGCGAUGUAAGAAGUUUGAUUUGGAUACAUAAAGUAAUGGAGACUCACUAGGAAGAUGAUUAAAUCUUAUAGGAGUUAGGAUGAAGAAGCUAUCCCAUUGUCAAAUCAGGGGAUCCCAGUUUUCCUGUUUGGAAAUAUGACAACUUCUUCGUCAUUCUAAUCAAACCAGGAUGAAUCGCGAUGUAAGAAGCUUGAUUUGGAUACAUAAAAUAGUGGAGACUCAACAGGAAGUUGAAUAAACUCAUAAGAGUUAGGAUGAUGAAGCUAUCCUAUUUUCAAAGAAAGGGAUCCCAGUUUUCCUGUUUGGGAAUAUGACAACUUCUUCGUCAUUCUAAUCAAACCAGGAUGAAUCGCGAUGUAAGAAGCUUGAUUUGGAUACAUAAAGUAGUGGAGACUCACCAGGAAGUUGAAUAAAUUUCAUAGGGGUUAAGAUGAAGAAGCUAUCCCACUUUCAAAGCAAGGAAUCCUAGUUUUCCUAUUUGGGAAUAUGACAACUUCUUCGUCAUUCUAAUCAAACCAGGAUGAAUCGCGAUGUAAGAAGCUUGAUUUGGAUACAUAAUGUAGUGGAGAAUCACCAGGAAGUUGAAUAAAUCUCAUAUGAGUUGGGAUGAUAAAGCUAUACCACUAUCAAAUCAUGUGAUCCCAGUUUUCCUGUUUGGGAAUAUAACAACUUCUUCGUCAUUAGAAUCAAACCAGGAUGAAUCACGGUGUAAGAAGCUUGAUUUGGAUACAUAAAGUAGUGGACAAUCACCAGGAAGUUGAAUAAAUGUCAUAGGAGUUAGGAUGAAGAAGCUAUCAUACUUUCAAAGCAAGGGAUCCCAGUUUUCCUUUUUAGGAAUAUGACAACCUCUUCCUCAUUUUAAUCAAACCAGGAUGAGUCGCGAUGUAAGAAUCUAGAUUUGGAUACCUAAAAUAGUAGAGACUCACCAGGAAGUUGAAUAAAUGUCAUAGGAGUUAGGAUGAAGAAGCUAUCCCACUUUCAAAUGAAGGGAUCUCAGUUUUCCUGUUUGGGAAUAUGACAACUUUUUCGUCAUUCUAAUC
rnacentral:lncRNA from 1 species